rnacentral:lncRNA from 10 species
GUCUCUGGGGAAGGCUGAGGCCUGAACAAGCCAGUAGCAUUUAGCAUGGUCCAUGCACUGUGUGUCACCAUGAGUCUUUGGUGAUGUGUCCUACCUGAUGUCACAGCUCUGACCAGGACAAGAAGGGCGGCCUGCACCCUGCUUCUGGCAGUCACCUAUGCACAUGAAAGGCUGCUCCUCAUGCCUGGGGACAGCAUGUCUCUCCAUGUGUCCCAGCAGCAUAGCCUCACUCCAUGAGGAAGGAUGCAUGUCACACCAACAGCUGGCAAACCUCUUUAUUGUAAAAAUCACACCCUACCCUAAAAGCACAUGGCAAUGAACAUUUCUGAGUGGAGGAGGAUGCCCCGGUGUCUGUUAAUUAGCCAGGAAGCCAUGCUUGUUUCCUAGUGCAGGGUGACU